rnacentral:lncRNA from 1 species
UCCAAGGCUAACAUAGCAUCCUGCCCCAUUCUGGGAUACCGUUGCUGGUUUACCUCCCUGGAACACCCAUGAAACCACCAGCGAGCUGUUGCAUUCUUCUUACUUAUCGAAGGAGAAGCCACCGCCAUUCCCUCCAGGUGUGUUGGACUACGGUGUCUGCAGAGGCACACACGACAGGCACGGAUCCUGAGUUGCAGUGGCGGGCAGGUUGGUCUAGUGGGCAGGUGGAUGGAGGCAGCGGGUGAGGAGCCUGUUGGAGGUGGGCUCCGUUCACCCUCCGUGCGGGCCCCCUGGUGCAAAACCCCACCCCAGCUGCCCAGUCCAUCUGGAGGACACAAAAACUUGCCCUGCCCCGGGCACCGGCAACCCAAGCUACGCCACUGAGCAUCCUUUAGUUAUGUAUUCCAUUGUUAGCCUGCCUUUACUCCAAGGAGUUCAAGGUGGUGUGUGUGGCUUCUCGCCUCCUUCCCAUUUUAUCCUCACAACAACCCUGUGAGGUUGAUCUAGGAGGCAGGGACUGGCCCAAGAUCACAGGUGAGUUUCUUUUCUUUUCUUUAAAAUAGGUUUUUUUAAUUUCUGAUAUAUAACCAUUACACACACACACACAAAAAGAGUUACAGAAACAAAAUCUCAACUCGCUCUCCUCCAAGAUGGAUCCAUCCAAUUAAGUCCAAUCUGUGAUUUUGGUAGCUGCCAUUCUUCAGGGUUAUAAGCAAAGUGUUUUUUUCCCUUAAGGAUGCCAUAUCUCAACAAAAUCGUCUACAUCAUUUGUCUCAUUCAAUGCAUGUAAUCUCUUUGUUAAUUGUUCUGACGCAGCAAUAGACCAUACAUUCUGUUUCCAACGAGAGAUACGCAGAUGUUCCAAUCCUUUCUGAUUCUGUGCCACUGGUAGGCGUGCCGCUGCUAAAAGAAAAUGAAUUAUCUCUUUAUAACAAAGGUCAGGUUGCCCUUCUUUAAAACUAGUUAACAAUCCCAAAUGGGGUACAUUCCACAGGCUGGCCUGCAACAUAGGUUAUUUCUGCAAAUACCAUCUGCCAGAAGGACUUUAGAGGUUCACACAACCUGGUGAGUUUUGUGUUUGACUGGGGAUUUGAACCCUGAACACCCCAGUCCCUAGUCUAGGCAUCAUCCUGUGUCCAUUCCUUCAGCUCUGCAGUCCCAGGGUAAGAGCUGGUUUCAGGUGAUGUGGGUGUGCUCAUCACUCGCAAAAGCUCACCUGUUGUGAUGCUCAAAGUGUGAGCGCGGAAAUCAGACAAACGACUUGCUAAGUCUGUUUCAUGGUUUCUAUCCACCUGAGGACCCACUGCUGCAAACCCUGUGGCCUGUCUUUGUUUUAUUACCCAACAGUUUGCAAUUCAGAGACUAGUUUUGCCGCUGCAGGCAAUGUUUCCUUCCUUGCAAUCUGUGGGCGCACCUGGGUUAUCCAUGACCGCAAAACAAAUGUGUUUAUACCUGCGUGUGUAUGCGUGUGUUGCGAGUCUAAUAUCUCAUCUUAAAAUAGCAGCGAUUAAAGCGGAGAGGAGUAGGAGGCAAGCUGCGACGUCUCUCUGCUGGGGAAAAGGCAGAGGAGUUGCGAAGUCUCUGGGCUUCUGAAAGACAAAAAUUGUCACUACCAGCAAAAGGUUUCAACGUCUCCGUCUCUGCUCAGCACGGAGUCCAGUUUAGCUUCUUCUAAGACACGGUGGCCAAAACAAACAAACAAACAUUAUAAUAUCAAUGCCAGAUAAUACACACAUUAUGACAGUCCGUAAUUAAGUCAGAGCAUUCUAACCCUUUGGAUUUUGUUUUUAAAAAGGCAGUGAGGGAUGCCAUUUUGUAAAAGGGAAAAGUGCAGCUAAAGCUAGAAGAUUGGCAAUGGGAAAGACUUCAACACAGGAAGGCUUUUAAAGUGAGAAUGGCAGGUGGAAACUUAGAAGAGGAUCCAGGAAAGAAGAAAAUGGAGCAAGG